GUCAGAGGUUCGAAGGCGAUCAGAUACCGCCCUAGUUCUAACCAUAAACGAUGCCAACCAGCGAUCCGUCGGUGUUUAUUUGAUGACUCGGCGGGCAGCUUCCGGGAAACCAAAGUGCUUAAGUUCCGGGGGAAGUAUGGUUGCAAAGCUGAAACUUAAAGGAAUUGACGGAAGGGCACCACCAGGAGUGGAGCCUGCGGCUUAAUUUGACUCAACACGGGAAAACUCACCCGGCCCGGACACCGUAAGGAUUGACAGAUUGAGAGCUCUUUCUUGAUUCGGUGGUUGGUGGUGCAUGGCCGUUCUUAAUUGGUGGAGCGAUUUGUCUGGUUUAUUCCGACAACGA
rnacentral:rRNA from 1 species